CAGCCGCCGCGGUAAUACGGAGGGUGCAAGCGUUAAUCGGAAUUACUGGGCGUAAAGCGCACGCAGGCGGUCUGACAAGUCAGAUGUGAAAUCCCCGGGCUUAACCUGGGAACUGCAUUUGAAACUGUCAGGCUGGAGUCUUGUAGAGGGGGGUGGAAUUCCAGGUGUAGCGGUGAAAUGCGUAGAGAUCUGGAGGAAUACCGGUGGCGAAGGCGGCCCCCUGGACAAAGACUGACGCUCAGGUGCGAAAGCGUGGGGAGCAAACAGGAUUAGAUACCCCAGUAGUUUCUGUCUCUUAUAC
rnacentral:rRNA from 1 species